UACGGGGGGGGUAAGCGUUGUUCGGAAUUACUGGGCGUAAAGGGCUCGUAGGCGGCCAACUAAGUCGGACGUGAAAUCCCUCAGCUUAACUGGGGAACUGCGUCCGAUACUGGAUGGCUUGGAUUUGGGAGAGGGAUGCGGAAUUCCAGGUGUAGCGGUGAAAUGCGUAGAUAUCGGGAGGAACACCUGUGGCGAAGGCGGCCCCCUGGUUGGAUACUGACGCUGAUACGCGAAAGCGUGGGGAGCAAACAGG
rnacentral:rRNA from 1 species